rnacentral:rRNA from 1 species
GACGAACGCUGGCGGCGUGCUUAACACAUGCAAGUCGAACGAGAGCGUAGAGAAAGCUUGCUUUUUCUACAAUCUAGUGGCAAACGGGUGAGUAACGCGUAAACAACCUGCCCUACGGAUGGGGACAACAGCUGGAAACGGCUGCUAAUACCGAAUACGUUCCGAAAGUCGCAUGACUAUCGGAAGAAAGGAUGGCCUCUAUUUAUAAGCUAUCGCCGGAGGAGGGGUUUGCGUCUGAUUAGCUAGUUGGAGGGGUAACGGCCCACCAAGGCGACGAUCAGUAGCCGGUCUGAGAGGAUGAACGGCCACAUUGGAACUGAGACACGGUCCAGACUCCUACGGGAGGCAGCAGUGGGGAAUCGUCCGCAAUGGGCGAAAGCCUGACGGAGCAACGCCGCGUGAGUGAAGACGGCCUUCGGGUUGUAAAGCUCUGUUAUACGGGACGAAUAAUCUUGUGGUUAAUACCCAUGAGAAGUGACGGUACCGUAAGAGAAAGCCACGGCUAACUACGUG